rnacentral:rRNA from 1 species
GAUGAACGCUGGCGGCGUGCCUAAUACAUGCAAGUCGAGCGAACAGACGAGGAGCUUGCUCCUCUGACGUUAGCGGCGGACGGGUGAGUAACACGUGGAUAACCUACCUAUAAGACUGGGAUAACUUCGGGAAACCGGAGCUAAUACCGGAUAAUAUAUUGAACCGCAUGGUUCAAUAGUGAAAGACGGUUUUGCUGUCACUUAUAGAUGGAUCCGCGCCGCAUUAGCUAGUUGGUAAGGUAACGGCUUACCAAGGCGACGAUGCGUAGCCGACCUGAGAGGGUGAUCGGCCACACUGGAACUGAGACACGGUCCAGACUCCUACGGGAGGCAGCAGUAGGGAAUCUUCCGCAAUGGGCGAAAGCUUGACGGAGCAACGCCGCGUGAGUGAUGAAGGUCUUCGGAUCGUAAAACUCUGUUAUUAGAGAAGAACAAAUGUGUAAGUAACUAUGCACGUCUUGACGGUACCUAAUCAGAAAGCCACGGCUAACUACGUG